rnacentral:rRNA from 1 species
GCAGCAGUGAGGAAUAUUGGUCAAUGGGCGCGAGCCUGAACCAGCCAAGUCGCGUGAGGGAAGACGGUCCUAUGGAUUGUAAACCUCUUUUGUCGGGGAGCAAAAGACGCCACGUGUGGCGUUCCGAGAGUACCCGAAGAAAAAGCAUCGGCUAACUCCGUGCCAGCAGCCGCGGUAAUACGGAGGAUGCGAGCGUUAUCCGGAUUUAUUGGGUUUAAAGGGUGCGCAGGCGGAAGAUCAAGUCAGCGGUAAAAUUGAGAGGCUCAACCUCUUCGAGCCGUUGAAACUGGUUUUCUUGAGUGAGCGAGAAGUAUGCGGAAUGCGUGGUGUAGCGGUGAAAUGCAUAGAUAUCACGCAGAACUCCGAUUGCGAAGGCAGCAUACCGGCGCUCAACUGACGCUCAUGCACGAAAGUGUGGGUAUCGAACAGGAUUAGAUACCCUGGUAGUCCACACAGUAAACGAUGAAUACUAAUUGUUCGGGGAGAAUGAUCCCUGA